CAAGACAACUUUACGGAGUUGACGAUUGACGGAGCGAAGCGACGUCAAAGCGUUCAUUAAAGUCGAGUUGGCUUAGGGAUACGUUCGUUGGGUAGGGGAGCGUUCUGUAAGCCUGUGAAGGUGUGUCGUGAGGCAUGCUGGAGGUAUCAGAAGUGCGAAUGCUGACAUAAGUAACGAUAAAGCGGGUGAAAAGCCCGCUCGCCGGAAGACCAAGGGUUCCUGUCCAACGUUAAUCGGGGCAGGGUGAGUCGACCCCUAAGGCGAGGCCGAAAGGCGUAGUCGAUGGGAAACGGGUUAAUAUUCCCGUACUUGGUGUUACUGCGAAGGGGGGACGGAGAAGGCUAUGUUGGCCGGGCGACGGUUGUCCCGGUUUAAGCGUGUAGGUGUGUGUUCCAGGUAAAUCCGGUUCACUUUAACACUGAGGCGUGACGACGAGGCACUACGGUGCUGAAGCAACAAAUGCCCUGCUUCCAGGAAAAGCCUCUAAGCAUCAGGUAACAUCAAAUCG
rnacentral:rRNA from 1 species